UGCAUCACCAACCCCUGGGAAGCCAGUUCCAGCUCAGUGCAUCCUUGUUCCUGACUUGAGACCAAAUGUCAACGCAGCAUCAAGGUGUUAAGUGCAUGGAAGAUACAAAUGCAUCCCACUUGGAUGAGGAAGGAAGGCAAACACAGGCCUGAUGACUGCAACUAAUGACUGAAGCCUUUGGUUCAGCCGCAAGGCAGUGGUAGGCCAGGCAAGGCCUAGGAGUUUGAACUGAUAUCCAUCGUCAUGGUAUCCGUGCACCUUCCAGGGUAAAUCAAUACAGCUCCAAGGUUAUUUCCUAAGAAAUCGUGAGGAAGUAAGACCAUUGGUGGACUAGGCGCAGGCUGUCAGAAACUACAGGGAAGGUCUUCCUCAGCUGUUGGUAUCUGUAUGCCUCU